rnacentral:rRNA from 1 species
GGCGUAAAGAGCUCGUAGGUGGUUUGUCGCGUUGUUCGUGAAAUCUCACGGCUUAACUGUGAGCGUGCGGGCGAUACGGGCAGACUUGAGUACUGCAGGGGAGACUGGAAUUCCUGGUGUAGCGGUGGAAUGCGCAGAUAUCAGGAGGAACACCGGUGGCGAAGGCGGGUCUCUGGGCAGUAACUGACGCUGAGGAGCGAAAGCGUGGGGAGCGAACAGGAUUAGAUACCCUGGUAGUCCACGCCGUAAACGGUGGGUACUAGGUGUGGGUUUCCUUCCUUGGGAUCCGUGCCGUAGCUAACGCAUUAAGUACCCCGCCUGGGGAGUACGGCCGCAAGGCUAAAACUCAAAGAAAUUGACGGGGGCCCGCACAAGCGGCGGAGCAUGUGGAUUAAUUCGAUGCAACGCGAAGAACCUUACCUGGGUUUGACAUGCACAGGACGCCGGCAGAGAUGUCGGUUCCCUUGUGGCCUGUGUGCAGGUGGUGCAUGGCUGUCGUCAGCUCGUGUCGUGAGAUGUUGGGUUAAGUCCCGCAACGAGCGCAACCCUUGUCUCAUGUUGCCAGCGGGUAAUGCCGGGGACUCGUGAGAGACUGCCGGGGUCAACUCGGAGGAAGGUGGGGAUGAUGUCAAGUCAUCAUGCCCCUUAUGUCCAGGGCUUCACACAUGCUACAAUGGCCGGUACAAAGGGCUGCGAUGCCGCGAGGUUAAGCGAAUCCUUUUAAAGCCGGUCUCAGUUCGGAUCGGGGUCUGCAACUCGACCCCGUGAAGUCGGAGUCGCUAGUAAUCGCA